rnacentral:lncRNA from 1 species
CUGAAUAUUCAUUUAAGUAAGCUAUUUUCGUCGAAUGGAAUGAAAAAACAGCAUUUUCAAAAUUCGAUUGAAGACAUCUAUAGUACCUUUAAAAUAGAUUUGCGACGGGUCUAGUUCGUUCUCGUGAUAACAGAACGUGUAAGAUGAGUAAUCGCGAAAUUCCCACUGAAAUCUCGGGUAUAUAAACAUGUUUCACUGCCCGGAAAGCUUUUACCGUCAUUUGCUCAUUCGAUCUGGCAAACGCUUACUACAAAAUACUACGUUGAGUACUACGAUGCGUACGAUGACGAAUCCUCGGUCUCUCAUUGGUUCGUUCUAUUUUGAAUGGUUCAUUCAUGAAUCGCGUUGCGCUCGCGACCAAUCGCGACACAUGGUGUGUUUGUAAACAAAGCAAAAAUUCAUCGCUCGCUCUUGCUUUCAUUCGAUCAUGACAUUCGAUCGACGCAGAUUUCUUAAUUGAUUUAAAAUAAUGUGUUAAAUCAGGAGUAAUGUAUUUUGCUAGAAUAUUCAGAUUGUUAUAUCUUCGUCUAAAGUUCAGCAAACACCCGAAGAACAGAAUGUGUCGAUUUGUCUAUGGUUACUUAGGUACUUUUUCGUGGGUGAAGUUCAGACCAAACAUAGAUGUUGGUCAUCGAUCAAAUAUAGUUUAAUUUUUUCCCUUAUGAUAAUGCCACAGCUGACUGUAGUAUUUACAUCUCAUAUUAUACGUAUGGGCAUAAACAAUUUUCUAUUAAAUAAGUAGUGUAUUAUACUCAUUUAAAUUAAGUAGAAAUAAAGCUUGAGGUUAAAACACGAUGCGGGAGGAUUUCAAUCCUGAACUCACAACCUAUUUUUUCUUAUUAAACUCUGGUUCUCAGGUAGUAGUAGAAUCCAUAAUCUUGCAGUAUUUGCCCCACAAAUUUAUAGAACAUAAAUUUAAAAACGACGCAGGAAUCCAGUGCCUUAGAUCAGAUUGCUUGUUGAAUAUCAAUCAGAUGUCAAGAGGGACAAACAAAGGCAUUUGCAGAUUGGUUUGGCGAUAUGCCAUAAUAAAAGAUGACCUCUUCCAUCUCCACUUCUGA